AGCAUAUCAAUAAGCGGAGGAAAAGAAACCAACAGGGAUUGCCCUAGUAACGGCGAGUGAAGCGUCAACAGCUCAAAUUUGAAAUCUGGCAACAGCCCGAGUUGUAAUUUGUAGAGGAAGCUUCUGGUGAUGCACUGUCUAAGUCCCCUGGAACGGGGCGCCACAGCGGGUGAGAGCCCCAUGUGAUGGCUGCUGACCCAGUGUGAAGCUCCUUCGACGAGUCGAGUAGUUUGGGAAUGCUGCUCAAAAUGGGAGGUAAAUUCCUUCUAAAGCUAAAUAUUGGCUAGAGACCGAUAGCGCACAAGUAGAGUGAUCGAAAGAUGAAAAGCACUUUGAAAAGAGGGUUAAACAGCACGUGAAAUUGUUGAAAGGGAAGCGCUCAUGACCAGACUUGCGCUGGGCUGAUCAUCCGGUGUUCUCACCGGUGCACUCUGCCCGGCACAGGCCAGCAUCGGUUUUGGCGGGGGGAUAAAGGCGCUGGAAACGUAGCUCCCCCGGGAGUGUUAUAGCCUAGCGUGCAAUACCCCCGCUGGGACCGAGGUCCGCGCAUUCGCAAGGAUGCUGGCGUAAUGGUCAUCAGCGACCCGUCUG
rnacentral:rRNA from 1 species